rnacentral:tRNA from 1 species
UGGCUCAGCGGCAAAGAAUCUGCCUGCAAUGCAGAAGACCCGGGUUCAAUCCCCGG